AGCGAACGCUGGCGGCAGGCUUAACACAUGCAAGUCGAGCGGGCGUAGCAAUACGUCAGCGGCAGACGGGUGAGUAACGCGUGGGAACAUACCUUUUGGUCGGAACAACACAGGGAAACUUGUGCUAAUACCGGAUAAGCCCUUACGGGGAAAGAUUUAUCGCCGAAAGAUUGGCCCGNGUCUGAUUAGCUAGUUGGUGAGGUAAUGGCUCACCAAGGCGACGAUCAGUAGCUGGCUGAGAGGAUGAUCAGCCACAUU
rnacentral:rRNA from 1 species